AACGAACGUUAGCGGCGCGCCUAACACAUGCAAGUCGCACGAGAAAGGGCUUCGGCCCCGGUACAGUGGCGCACGGGUGAGUAACACGUGGGUGAUCUGCCUUCGAGCGGGGGACAACAUUCCGAAAGGAGUGCUAAUACCGCAUAAGACCACGGCUUCGAAAGAAGCAGCGGACAAAGCUGGCCUCUAUACAUAAGCUAGCACUCGAGGAUGAGCCCGCGGCGCAUCAGCUAGUUGGUGAGGUAGUGGCUCACCAAGGCGAAGACGCGUAGCUGGUCUGAGAGGAUGAUCGGCCACACUGGAACUGAGACACGGUCCAGACUCCUACGGGAGGCAGCAGUGGGGAAUCUUGCGCAAUGGGCGAAAGCCUGACGCAGCGACGCCGCGUGAGUGAUGAAGGCCUUCGGGUUGUAAAGCUCUGUGGGGAGAGACGAAUAAGUGCAGGCUAAUACCCUGCAUGAUGACGGUAUCUCCUUAGCAAGCACCGGCUAACUCUGUGCCAGCCGCCGCCGUAAAAC
rnacentral:rRNA from 1 species